CUCCUCGUAGCUCAGUCUGGUUAGAGUGCUGCCUUGGAAGCAGGAGGUCGUAGGUUCGAAUCCUACCGGGGUGA
rnacentral:tRNA from 1 species